UUAGUAAUUUAUGAAAGUUUUUGAUAAAAAUUUUAAGUCUACGGGCACUUACUAAG
rnacentral:tRNA from 1 species